rnacentral:rRNA from 1 species
AACAGGAUUAGAUACCCUGGCAGUCCACGCCGUAAACGAUGUCGACUUGGAGGUUGUUCCCUUGAGGAGUGGCUUCCGGAGCUAACGCGUUAAGUCGACCGCCUGGGGAGUACGGCCGCAAGGUUAAAACUCAAAUGAAUUGACGGGGGCCCGCACAAGCGGUGGAGCAUGUGGUUUAAUUCGAUGCAACGCGAAGAACCUUACCUACUCUUGACAUCCACGGAAUUUGGCAGAGAUGCCUUAGUGCCUUCGGGAACCGUGAGACAGGUGCUGCAUGGCUGUCGUCAGCUCGUGUUGUGAAAUGUUGGGUUAAGUCCCGCAACGAGCGCAACCCUUAUCCUUUGUUGCCAGCGAUUCGGUCGGGAACUCAAAGGAGACUGCCGGUGAUAAACCGGAGGAAGGUGGGGAUGACGUCAAGUCAUCAUGGCCCUUACGAGUAGGGCUACACACGUGCUACAAUGACGCAUACAAAGAGAAGCGACCUCGCGAGAGCAAGCGGACCUCAUAAAGUGCGUCGUAGUCCGGAUCGGAGUCUGCAACUCGACUCCGUGAAGUCGGAAUCGCUAGUAAUCGUGGAUCAGAAUGCCACGGUGAAUACGUUCCCGGGCCUUGUACACACCGCCCGUCACACCAUGGGAGUGGGUUGCAAAAGAAGUAGGUAGCUUAACCUUCGGGAGGGCGCUUACCACUUUGUGAUUCAUGACUGGGGUGAAGUCGUAACAAGGUAACC